rnacentral:misc_RNA from 1 species
AAAAAGGUAUGAUGGGUAAUGUGCGCUAGUGGGUGUAAUGUAAUUUAAAAUGCAGAACAUAUUACACUAUUUAGGAAGAGAUCAUGUAAAUACAUGAUUUGCAACCCAUUUAUCAUCAUUCAAAGCUGCCAUUUUUGCGGGCAGAUUGCCAUUUUUUUCUUUCUUCAAAAACUGGUAUACGUAAAUCCUGAACAGUAAACUCGCCGUUGAGAGAAAAUUACUACCUUGAUAAUCACAAAGUAAAGAGAUAAGCAACUAGAUGAUGGCAGGGAAAUCGUAGAGUGACUCUACCCAUGCCAAGGAUGAAUAGACUGUCAAGAAAAGCUCUGUAUAAGUGGUCUUUUUCAAAAUUCUAACUUCUUUUCUUCUGGUAACUGUCAUUUCCUGAACAGUGCUGCUAAGGAACCGUAAGGUGUAGUCGUGGAGGAUUUGAAGGUGAGACUGGAGAGCCUUCGCUAGAAUCUCCCCGCCAUCCAUCCUGAACUUGAGCAGCAAACUGCAAGUUCCACAUCACAUCCUCGACUGAAGGUCUAUCUGCUGGGUUCUUAAGCAGGCACCUUACACAGACCUCCAUCAUUGUCUUCAAUGACUGAUCCGGACACCCCCUCUGAACAGCUGGAUCAACCAUGCUCCUUCGAGCAGCAUCGUCACUAGUGAUGCCAACUUGUAACUGAUCUUUUAAAACAUCCACUUCAUUCGUGUGAUUCAGGGGUCUUCCCACAAUGAUUUCAAGUAACAUUACUCCAAAGUCAUACACAUCAAUCUUCUCUUCUUGAUUUGUCCUUGAACUGGAGCUAGGAUCUUUGGAUCCACCAGAAGAAACUCCAUAGACAACCUUUCCUGCGUUCUCUGCUAAUAAAGGCAGGUUAUAACUACUAAUUUUUGCAACAAGGUUCUGAUCCAGCAAAACAUCUGUUAUUUUCAGAUUAUUUGAAUGUAUUCCUGGCACUAUCCCUGUAUGCAAAAACUGUAUGCCUUUUGCUACACCUAUUGCAGCUGAUAUUCGUUGUGCCCAAUUAAGUGUUUGUCUGGCAUGUCUCUCUGAGAUCCAACUCCUUAGUGUGCCAUUUGGCACAUAUUCAAAUACAAGAAAUAUUCUGCUGACACUUGAAUCAUCCAAGUAACAUUCAAAGCAGUGUCCGAGAGCACUGACCAGAUUUCGAUGCCUCAGUUUUGAAAUCAGCUCUAUAUGGUACAUAAAGUUUUGGGUGCUGUAACUCCUUUUCAUUUUUAGGCAUCUAAUGGCAACAUAGGAACCAUUCUUAAGCCGGCCCUUAUACAUCUGCCCUUGAGAGCCUUCACCCAUGAAAGUAGCUGUGUCGAAGUUGUUUGUAGCCUCCUCAAGCUCCUCCAAAGAAAAGGAACGGUAAGCUGGAAUGCCAAGUGCUCCCAACUUCAUUGUUUGAGAUAUAUACCUUGCAUCUGAGAGUAACUUUGAAGGGUACCCAGUUGAUGCAUUCUCUGAAAUUAGUCUUGUUGUAGGUCUCUUGAUUGUCUUCCUGGCAUUGGACUUUUUAACAGCCAAGAAAAUCAAAACAACAAGUGCAAUUCCUCCAACAAUCCCUCCAAUUGCACCCAAUGCAAUAAUUUUAGAAUCUCGUCUCCUUUUCUUGCGCUGAGGCAAAAUUCCUACGGCUAAUGCUUCAUUCCGACAAAAGGAAAGUGGAUGUUGACUUUGAUCCCUUGUUGCUAGACAGUUCCCGGCAUACAUGAUCUUUUCCUUAGAAUCUGAGUGAAGGCACUCAGGCAAGUGUCCACUUAUAAGAUUUGAGGACACAUCCACAAAUUCAAGGUCAGCACUGCAAGAUUGAUUUUCAAAAAGCACUCCUGUGAACUUAUUAUCUGCAACAUUUAGAUAAGUUACGGAAGGCAAAGAUAACAAAUAUUGUGGAAAUGGCCCCACAAAUUUAUUGUGUGAGAGGUCUAGAUGUUGAAGUUGAUAAUAUGAGCUCACUUCAGCUGGGAGGCCAUCCCUGAAUUUGUUCUUGCUCAGGACAACAGUAACUAACUUGUUUCCAAGCUGAGGAAACUGGGGUCCAAAAGCAUUAU